rnacentral:rRNA from 1 species
UACGGAGGGAGCUAGCGUUGUUCGGAAUUACUGGGCGUAAAGCGCACGUAGGCGGCUUUGUAAGUUAGAGGUGAAAGCCCGGGGCUCAACUCCGGAAUUGCCUUUAAGACUGCAUCGCUUGAAUCCAGGAGAGGUGAGUGGAAUUCCGAGUGUAGAGGUGAAAUUCGUAGAUAUUCGCAAGAACACCAGUGGCGAAGGCGGCUUACUGGUCCGGUUCUGACGCUGAGGCGCGAAAGCGUGGGGAGCAAACAGG